AGAGUUUGAUCAUGGCUCAGGACGAACGCUGGCGGCGUGCUUAACACAUGCAAGUCGAACGGAAAGGCCCUGCUUUUGUGGGGUGCUCGAGUGGCGAACGGGUGAGUAACACGUGAGUAACCUGCCCUUGACUUUGGGAUAACUUCAGGAAACUGGGGCUAAUACCGGAUAGGAGCUCCUGCUGCAUGGUGGGGGUUGGAAAGUUUCGGCGGUUGGGGAUGGACUCGCGGCUUAUCAGCUUGUUGGUGGGGUAGUGGCUUACCAAGGCUUUGACAGGUAGCCGGCCUGAGAGGGUGACCGGCCACAUUGGGACUGAGAUACGGCCCAGACUCCUACGGGAGGCAGCAGUGGGGAAUAUUGCACAAUGGGCGGAAGCCUGAUGCAGCAACGCCGCGUGCGGGAUGACGGCCUUCGGGUUGUAAACCGCUUUCGCCUGUGACGAAGCGUGAGUGACGGUAAUGGGUAAAGAAGCACCGGCUAACUACGUGCCAGCAGCCGCGGUGAUACGUAGGGUGCGAGCGUUGUCCGGAUUUAUUGGGCGUAAAGGGCUCGUAGGUGGUUGAUCGCGUCGGAAGUGUAAUCUUGGGGCUUAACCCUGAGCGUGCUUUCGAUACGGGUUGACCUGAGGAAGGUAGGGGAGAAUGGAAUUCCUGGUGGAGCGGUGGAAUGCGCAGAUAUCAGAGGAACACCAGUGGCG
rnacentral:rRNA from 1 species